rnacentral:lncRNA from 1 species
GGGCUGGAGCUCAUAAAUAAUACCGAGGCCACACCCCGCAGAACGCGGAGCCGUCGGCCCGGCCCGCCCCAAGCUCCGCUCGGCGGCACGGAGUGGGCGCGCAGCCUGAUCGCUCGGGGGGGUUCCCGGCGCAAUAAAAGGCUUUUGAGGGAGCAGCACCCGGCUCGUCCCAGGAGAAAGGCGGCAGCAGGUUGCUCUCCAGUUUCCCCGCCGGCUCGCAACCGCGUAUAUCGCGCAGCCGCGGAGCUCGCUGGCAAGAAACUCGCCGGGAAAGUUUCCUCCCCUCGGUACUGCGGGCCGACCUGGGGCCGCCGCUGUGCCCCGAUGGCAGCGCUGUGGGCUCCGUGCCGGAGGAGAGCGGCCCCGGGCUGCGAGCGGGACGGUGCGGGGCAGCCUUCGGGGCAGGCCGGGAAAAUGUUCAGUAAUCAAGAUGAGGGUUUCACAGCUGAAUGCUAUUGCAGCACUACUUCAGAGGAGCACAUCUCAAUACUUAUGGAGCCUUGUCCCAUUAUGGAGCCUUGUCCUACAGGCAGAAGUACGUUAACAGGUUUUACGCUCCUGAAAAAGUGA